UACGUAGGGUGCGAGCGUUGUCCGGAAUUAUUGGGCGUAAAGAGCUUGUAGGCGGCCAGGUAGGUCUGCUGUGAAAACUCGAGGCUCAACCUCGAGACGUCGGCGGAAACCAUCUGGCUAGAGUCCGGAAGAGGAGAGUGGAAUUCCUGGUGUAGCGGUGAAAUGCGCAGAUAUCAGGAAGAACACCCGUGGCGAAGGCGGCUCUCUGGGACGGUACUGGACGGCUGAGACGCGAAAGC
rnacentral:rRNA from 1 species